UAAUACGUAGGAUGCAAGCGUUAUUCGGAUUUACUGGGCGUAAAGCGCACCGAGGUGGCUUCUUAAGUUGGAUGUAAAAUCUCCCGGCUUAACUGGGAGGCGCCAUUCAAAACUGCGAGGCUUGAGGUCAGCAGGGGAAAGUGGAAUUCCCGGUGUAGUGGUGGAAUGCGUAGAGAUCGGGAGGAACACCAGUGGCGAAAGCGGCUUUCUGGGCUGCACCUGACACUCUAGUGCGAAAGCGUGGGGAGCAAACAGGAUUAGAUACCCUGGUAGUCCACGCCCUAAACGAUGGAUACUGGGUGUGGGAGGUAUUGACCCCUUCCGUGCCGAAGCCAACGCGUUAAGUAUCCCGCCUGGGGACUACGGUCGCAAGGUU
rnacentral:rRNA from 1 species